GAUGUAGGUGUAACAUGUGAGAACGAUUCAAAGCCAGAAUCAAGUGUCUCCAGUGAUUUACAUGAAGAAAUUUCCACAGUAACUAUUGGUCAAGAGUCGGUUGAGGAAUCUGGUACACAGGAGACAGAUGUUCGACGUUCAGGUCGUCACAGAAAUAAACCACAAUGGAUGACAGGUGGUGAGUUUGUGUUAUCUCACACAACGCCAUCUCCAGAGUGGCUGGAGAAAGCAGAGUUUCUUCGCACUCUGGCGUUGUCAGGAGCUUUCCAUGAGUUGCCUGCUGAGGUGAGGAAAGCCAUUAUAGCACUGGUUGCGGGUACGUAGUGAAUGACGAGGACGCCCAAUAAGAAUUAUUGAAGCGAGUCAAUUUUCA